GUGGGUAUAGUUCAGUGGUAGAAAUUGCGUGCCUGCCAUGCAUGAGGUCCUGGAUUCAAUCUCCAGCACUGGCA
rnacentral:tRNA from 1 species